CACGUAGGGUGCGAGCGUUGUCCGGAAUUAUUGGGCGUAAAGAGCUCGUAGGCGGUUUGUCGCGUCUGCCGUGAAAGUCCGGGGCUCAACUCCGGAUCUGCGGUGGGUACGGGCAGACUAGAGUGAUGUAGGGGAGACUGGAAUUCCUGGUGUAGCGGUGAAAUGCGCAGAUAUCAGGAGGAACACCAAUGGCGAAGGCAGCUCGCUGGAACGGUAGCUGACGCUGAGGCGCGAAAGCGUGGGGAGCAAACAGG
rnacentral:rRNA from 1 species